UUGAAGAGUUUGAUCAUGGCUCAGAUUGAACGCUGGCGGCAGGCCUAACACAUGCAAGUCGAACGGUAACAGGAAACAGCUUGCUGUUUCGCUGACGAGUGGCGGACGGGUGAGUAAUGUCUGGGAAACUGCCUGAUGGAGGGGGAUAACUACUGGAAACGGUAGCUAAUACCGCAUAACGUCGCAAGACCAAAGAGGGGGACCUUCGGGCCUCUUGCCAUCAGAUGUGCCCAGAUGGGAUUAGCUAGUAGGUGGGGUAACGGCUCACCUAGGCGACGAUCCCUAGCUGGUCUGAGAGGAUGACCAGCCACACUGGAACUGAGACACGGUCCAGACUCCUACGGGAGGCAGCAGUGGGGAAUAUUGCACAAUGGGCGCAAGCCUGAUGCAGCCAUGCCGCGUGUAUGAAGAAGGCCUUCGGGUUGUAAAGUACUUUCAGCGGGGAGGAAGGGAGUAAAGUUAAUACCUUUGCUCAUUGACGUUACCCGCAGAAGAAGCACCGGCUAACUCCGUGCCAGCAGCCGCGGUAAUACGGAGGGUGCAAGCGUUAAUCGGAAUUACUGGGCGUAAAGCGCACGCAGGCGGUUUGUUAAGUCAGAUGUGAAAUCCCCGGGCUCAACCUGGGAACUGCAUCUGAUACUGGCAAGCUUGAGUCUCGUAGAGGGGGGUAGAAUUCCAGGUGUAGCGGUGAAAUGCGUAGAGAUCUGGAGGAAUACCGGUGGCGAAGGCGGCCCCCUGGACGAAGACUGACGCUCAGGUGCGAAAGCGUGGGGAGCAAACAGGAUUAGAUACCCUGGUAGUCCACGCCGUAAACGAUGUCGACUUGGAGGUUGUGCCCUUGAGGCGUGGCUUCCGGAGCUAACGCGUUAAGUCGACCGCCUGGGGAGUACGGCCGCAAGGUUAAAACUCAAAUGAAUUGACGGGGGCCCGCACAAGCGGUGGAGCAUGUGGUUUAAUUCGAUGCAACGCGAAGAACCUUACCUGGUCUUGACAUCCACGGAAGUUUUCAGAGAUGAGAAUGUGCCUUCGGGAACCGUGAGACAGGUGCUGCAUGGCUGUCGUCAGCUCGUGUUGUGAAAUGUUGGGUUAAGUCCCGCAACGAGCGCAACCCUUAUCCUUUGUUGCCAGCGGUCCGGCCGGGAACUCAAAGGAGACUGCCAGUGAUAAACUGGAGGAAGGUGGGGAUGACGUCAAGUCAUCAUGGCCCUUACUUACGACCAGGGCUACACACGUGCUACAAUGGCGCAUACAAAGAGAAGCGACCUCGCGAGAGCAAGCGGACCUCAUAAAGUGCGUCGUAGUCCGGAUUGGAGUCUGCAACUCGACUCCAUGAAGUCGGAAUCGCUAGUAAUCGUGGAUCAGAAUGCCACGGUGAAUACGUUCCCGGGCCUUGUACACACCGCCCGUCACACCAUGGGAGUGGGUUGCAAAAGAAGUAGGUAGCUUAACCUUCGGGAGGGCGCUUACCACUUUGUGAUUCAUGACUGGGGUGAAGUCGUAACAAGGUAACCGUAGGGGAACCUGCGGUUGGAUCACCUCCUU
rnacentral:rRNA from 1 species